GACGAACGCUGGCGGCGUGCCUAACACAUGCAAGUCGAACGGAAAGGCCCUGAUUUUGUGGGGUGCCCGAGUGGCGAACGGGUGAGUAAAACGUGAGUAACCUGCCCUUGACUUUGGGAUAACUUCAGGAAACUGGGGAUAAUACCGGAUAUGAGCUCCUGCUGCAUGGUGGGGGUUGGAAAGUUUCGGCGGCUGGUGAUGGACUCGCGGCUUAUCAGUUUGGUGGGGGGGUAGUGGCCUACCAAGGCUUUGACUGGUAGCCGGCCUUAGGGGGUGAGCGGCCACAUGGGGACUGAGAUACGGCCCAGACGGCUACGGGCGGCAUUGGUGGGGAGUAUUGCGGAAUGAGGCGGAGCCAGAUGCAGCGGCGGCGCGUUCGGAAUGACGGCCUUCGGGGUUUAAAGCGCUGUCGCCUGAGACGAGGCGUGAGGGACGGUAAUGGGUAGAGAAGCACCGGCUAACUACGUG
rnacentral:rRNA from 1 species